GACAGAGGUGCCGAGCGUUAGGCGGAAUCACUGGGCUUAAAGCGUGUGUAGGCGGGCCGUUAAGUUCCUUGUGAAAUCCCCCGGCUCAACCGGGGAACGGCUGGGUAUACUGGCGGCCUUGAGACACCUAGGGGCGAGCGGAACAGGCGGUGGAGCGGUGAAAUGCGUAGAUAUCGCCUGGAACGCCGACGGUGAAAACAGCUCGCUGGGGGUGUUCUGACGCUGAGACACGAAAGCCAGGGGAGCGAACGGG
rnacentral:rRNA from 1 species